CAAUAUAGUGCUUGUUCGGGUUAAUCCCGGUUUUGACAACUGCCAGAGCUGUUCAAAAAAGGAAAUGAUUAAAUAAAUAAGACAAACCACUAAAUCAAAUUAGCAAACGAACCCCUCUACUGACUCACUCAAGGGUUUCUUAACCUCAAGAAAAGAGUUUUGAGUGAGGAGAAGUAAAGGUACCUUCCGUGUCAUUACGUAAGCAUCUCCUGCUUUGAGGAUUACGGGAAUUACCACCGGCAGCCAGCCAGGAGCUCCGCUGCCUAUUACACCUGCCUGACCCAGGCUCUCUGAGCCCAGCCCGAGGCUGGGCAGCCAAAGCCCAGUGGUUCGGGAACUGUCCGCGGACGCGUCUCCAAACCGUGCCGAGAUACCAGCGCGAAAGAGGUUUUCUCAGACGGACGUUCAGUGUUCCCUCGGAGAACCGACGCAUGUUCCAAGAAUGAGGACCUUCUUCAUUUGUCCAAACACUUCUGCAUGUACAUAGUAAACCCUCAUCCACAUUCAACCCGGCUGAGUUUCCUGGGGCCUGAACCGGCAUGUCUGCCGCUGUAUUCAGCUUCUUACUAGAAGAAAAUACUAAUGUCAGGUGAGAAAAUGAAGGCACGGAGAAGACAGUGUUCUCUCGGUCGCAUAACUGGUAAGAAUAGUUUGUGCACUAGGCCCAUAAUAACAAAGGCUGACAUUUCCUGAGUGAUUGCUAUGUGCUAGGCUCUGGACAACGGGCUGUUCAAGAAUCAACCAAGUCAUUUAGUUCUCACAACAAUCCUUGGAGAUUAUUUCCUCGUUUUCAGGGGAGGAAGUGGAGGCACAGAGAAGUUUAACUUGCCCGAGUUCAAACAACUCGCAAGUAGUGAUGAGAUGCCUGCCCGGGCACCCUGCUCAACCUCUGUACUCUACUCCCUCUCCAGAGCCCAAAGCUUCUCCAAAGCCUACAGAUUAGAACUGACCUUUCAUUCAGUUCCCUCCCUGCUCCUGCUACACUUUAGGCUUGCUUAAUUCUCACACUUCGAUCAAAGCAGAUGGCAGGUUCUCUCCCAAUUCUGUUAUUAAUGAACCUGUUGGUCCCCUAGUCACCAGAGCUAGGGCACUGCAGGAGUUAACAAGCCUUUGUAAAGAAAUUAUUUGCGUGGAAGACAGCUUUCUUUUUUCUGUGAUAUCUUCUUCAUAUGCCAUGGGCUCUGUUCUCACUUCUUUCUCACAUACCAGAAGCUGACUCUAGGAGGCCUGAGCACCUUAUCUAUGGUCAAUUCCUCUGCCUGACUCUAUCACACUACCACUUGUAGAUUUUGCUCACACUUCCACAACAAGAUUAAAUUUGGAUCACAUUUUUUUCUCUUUGUGUUGGUAAAUUUCUGUUGGCAUGAGAAACAAAAAAUACUCAAAGCAAGUGCCCAUCCCCUCUCCGUCCUCCCUGGCCAGAUAAACUGCAAAUUCAAUUUGUUCAACACGCUCUCUGAAUGCUUUUGACUUCAAGGUACUUCCGGUUUCUAGGGUAAUCUAUGUGAUUAUGAACAAUUUCUGCAUCUGGGUUUUAGUUGUCAUGGAUGCAGGGACCACACACAGAUGGAGUUAUGUAGCGACAUUCUAUCAGGCACUGGCCGCUUUAAAUAGGGCAGGUUAAGUAAGUGACUGUAUGGCAGAAAUAAAGAUUUCUGAAGACCACUUCACAGGAAAAAUUUAUUCAAUUGAAAUUCAGCAAAACUUUAAGGAGUCUUUCCGGAGUGCCAAGCAUGUGCAACUCUAACUUGAUAUCUAAGAUACUGGUUUGGUUCUCAAAGAAUCAUGACCCCUACACACUAAUCAGUGAAAAUUUCCAACACUUUUCUAUUGUAUGCAGGAUAGAGUUGAAAUAAUUUAUUUGAUUAAAAUAGUUCAUUUUAAUUGCUGAUUAAAAAUUUUAAUUUAUUAAUUUAAUGAGAGCAUAUUUAAUCACUUAUUUUAUGCCAGCCCUUAUGCUAGGCAAUGGGAAUAUAAUGGUUGUAAUAGCCAGGGUAGUGUAGGUUUUGCUGCUGUAAUAAACCAGCCCAAAGUCUCCCAAGCUUAAGCAAUAAUGGUUUAUAUCUUGCUCAUCAAAAUCUGCUAUGGAUCUAGGUUACUCCUCAGAGUAGCUGUCCUCAGGAUUCAGUGUUGUACCACCAUAUCGAAACCUGCUUUUGUUACAAUAGGUAGCUAGCCAGGCAUGAGUGGGGCAGGAGAGAGCUCCCCCGACACCCCGCCAGGAAAAUCAGGAAACCAUCAUGUGGUGGCCAGGCAGUUAUUAACUAUCACUCUAAAAUAAUAAUUGGUUACAGCUGGCACGAGGGAAUGGCCAUCUCCCCAUAAAUAGGGAACACCUGAAACUGGUAAUCAGCAGCUUCCAAUAAGAUCUCAGGAGUUGGGCAACUGAACUCAAGUAUGUGCAUUAAGAUGCAAAAUGGUGGAGUUUAACUGGGAUAUGACUUUCUGGGGGCAUUAAAGGAAUGCAAGAUGCCAGAAGUAGGCCAGCAUGUAAAACUCUAAGUCCAAGGUCAAAUGGGGCACUUGACCUCCAAGAUGCCCGCUUGGGCCUCUUCCAACUGUACUUCCUUCCUUGCUGCUCUAAAGCUUUUUAAUUAACUUCCACUCUUGCUCUGAAACUUGCCUCAGUCUCUUUUUCUGCCUUAUGCCUCUCAAUUGUAUUUUUUCUUCCGAGGCAAGAAUUGAGGUUGCUGCAGACCUGUACUGAUUCCCCGCCAGUGACUUGGAUAGCUUCCACCGCUAACAGUUUCACAUCCACUGAGUUAGGGGAAGAGAGAAGUGGAGAAUUAAGUAUUCAAAUCUCCCAUCUAAAAGUGACACUUCUGUUCAUAUUUUAUGGGUUAAAGCAAGUCAAUGGUCAUGCCCAACUUCAGGAAAGCAAGAAAGCAUGUUAUUUUUGUGUGCUCGGAUAGAGACGAGAACUCUAUAGCAGGGAACACUGUGAUGUGUGCCACAGGGGCUAAUUGUCUCUGCACCAGGAAACUUACUUUCUAGUAGUGGGGAGUUAAACAUUGAAUGAAUAAUCACAAAGACAUAUGCAAUAGCAUUAUAGUAAAUGCCACAAUAAUAAUAAUAAUGAAAAUUUGUUAAUUGUUCCAAGCAUUUUAUGUACAGUCAUGUGUUUAAAUUUGUACACUCUGACUUUGUGAGAUAGAUACUGUAGAAGACCAGAAUAUGCCACUUCAAAAUAUGUCUUUUUGGUAUAAGUAUUUGUUUGAGAAACAGCAGCUAUAGGAGCAACUCUGAGAAUAGAGUGGAAUUACCUUUUUGUAGGGUGAAUUUAAAUCUAUAAAGGGAAUUUUCAUUUGUAAGAAUGUCUUCCUCUGAGUACUAGGAAGAAAAGGAUGGCACUAAAUUACUAGAAACUCUUAUUAAUGGAGAGGGCACUGACUUAAAUCUGCAUAACAAACUUUACCUUUGUUUACCAUGCUUUACCUGGUCACUUCCUCAUAACUGCACCCCUACCCCGAUACUCCUCUUUCUUUGUUUCAGCUGAAGAUGAUAUUUAAGUUUGAAUUCAAAGCCACCUCUUUGAAAAUUACUAAUUCCCUAUCUCAUAUAUAUAUAUAUGAAAUAUACAUGUUAAUAAACUUGUGGGAUUUUUGUU